rnacentral:rRNA from 1 species
GACGAACGCUGGCGGCGUGCUUAACACAUGCAAGUCGAGCGGUAAGGCUCCUUCGGGGGUACACGAGCGGCGAACGGGUGAGUAACACGUGAGUAAUCUGCCCUUCACUUCGGGAUAACCAUCGGAAACGGUGGCUAAUACCGGAUAUGACUCGUCCCUGCAUGGGGGUGGGUGGAAAGUUUUUUCGGUGGAGGAUGUGCUCGCGGCCUAUCAGCUUGUUGGUGAGGUAACGGCUCACCAAGGCUUCGACGGGUAGCCGGCCUGAGAGGGUGACCGGCCACACUGGGACUGAGACACGGCCCAGACUCCUACGGGAGGCAGCAGUGGGGAAUAUUGGACAAUGGGCGGAAGCCUGAUCCAGCAACGCCGCGUGAGGGAUGACGGCCUUCGGGUUGUAAACCUCUUUCAGCUCCGACGAAGCGCCCGUGAGGGUGGUGACGGUAGGUGCAGAAGAAGGACCGGCCAACUACGUGCCAGCCGCCGCAGUAAGAC